rnacentral:rRNA from 1 species
UAGGGAAUCUUCCACAAUGGACGAAAGUCUGAUGGAGCAACGCCGCGUGAGUGAAGAAGGUUUUCGGAUCGUAAAGCUCUGUUGUUGGUGAAGAAGGAUAGAGGCAGUAACUGAGCUUUAUUUGACGGUAAUCAACCAGAAAGUCACGGCUAACUACGUGCCAGCAGCCGCGGUAAUACGUAGGUGGCAAGCGUUGUCCGGAUUUAUUGGGCGUAAAGCGAGCGCAGGCGGAAUGAUAAGUCUGAUGUGAAAGCCCACGGCUCAACCGUGGAACUGCAUCGGAAACUGUCAUUCUUGAGUGCAGAAGAGGAGAGUGGAACUCCAUGUGUAGCGGUGGAAUGCGUAGAUAUAUGGAAGAACACCAGUGGCGAAGGCGGCUCUCUGGUCUGCAACUGACGCUGAGGCUCGAAAGCAUGGGUAGCGAACAGGAUUAGAUACCCUGGUAGUCCAUGCCGUAAACGAUGAGCGCUAGGUGUUGGGGACUUU